UCUCUCUCUCUCUCUCUCUCUCUCUCUCUCUCUAAUGCAGUGCCCUCCUUCUAUUCACAUGAAAAGAAAAAUUUUUUGAAAACGCCCAAAAAAUUGGAUAAUGGAGUCUGAACCAUACAAUUAGCAAUCAUGGUGUACCCCAAUGAAUCCCAUGAAAACUCUCCCCAGAAGAAAAUGGGAAGGGGAAAGAUCGAGAUCAAGCGGAUCGAAAACACUACGAACCGUCAAGUUACCUUCUGCAAGAGGCGCAAUGGUUUACUUAAAAAGGCUUAUGAGUUAUCAGUUCUUUGUGAUGCAGAAGUAGCCCUGAUUGUCUUCUCUAGCCGUGGCCGCCUCUAUGAGUAUGCUAAUAAUAGUGUUAAAAGAACAAUUGAGAGGUAUAAAAAAGCUUCUUCUGAUUCCUCCAAUACUGGGUCAGUUUCUGAAGCUAAUGCUCAGUUCUACCAGCAAGAAGCUGACAAAUUACGCAAUCAAAUUCGAAAUUUGCAGAAAACAAACAGGCAUAUGCUGGGUGAGUCCCUGGUAGGAUUGCCUAUGAAGGAGCUUAGGGGCUUGGAGACUCGUUUAGAAAAAGGAAUUAGCAGAAUCCGUUCUAAAAAGAAUGAGCUGCUGUUUGCAGAAAUUGAGUAUAUGCAGAAGAGGGAAAUUGACUUGCAUAACAAUAACCAACUUCUCCGAGCAAAGAUAGCUGAGAAUGAGAAGAGGCAGCAAAACAUGAAUUUGAUGCCAGGAGGCUCUAACUUUGAUGUCAUGCAUUCUCAACCAUUUGACUCUCGGAACUACUUCCAAGUCAAUGCGUUACAACCCGCCAACCAUUACCCCGAGCAGGACCCAAUGGCCCUUCAAUUAGUCUAAUAUUCUCGCGGAGUAAGUGGUACUUUCUGCUGUUUCUGUUUUAGAGAAGAACAUCUUAGUAUUAUGUCAGAUGAAAGGUACCAGUAUCAUGAAAAUGCUAUAAGGCAGGAAUCAACUUCCCUUAAAUGGAGGACUGUAGAACUGGUCCUCUGCCAUGUUUUAGCUAUGUAGAGUGUGUAAGACUGAUAAGUUUGUUUGUCAGACAAGAACUCCUCUUCCAUAUGUUCAGAGCAUGCACUAUGAUUCUACAAAGUUGAAUUUAAAGGUUAGGACAGCCACAAAGACAAGACUUGUGUCCGUAAGACAAGAAUUCAAGCUCUGCAUAUUCCCUAAAUAACUCAACACCAUUAGCAUGAACUGUAGCUGUUAGUUAGUUUUGUAGACAUAUCCGGGAACUAACUAAAGGCUUGUCUGAGUAACUUAGCACAAGAGCUUAGUUUAAAAGGAAUAAAAAGGGUCUUAACUUUUGAUCUGGACAAAACAAAUUAGAAUAUUCAUGUCUAGUGCAGAAUGAGCUAGUGGGUUUUUCUAACUCUUAGAACAUGACUUAAUUAUUUGAAAAUCCAUGAACCCCUUGAUUGUCUCAAUCAUUACACGUAACCUAUAACUAGUUCUCAUUAAUAACAAUGCAUACCAAUCAGAAAGUUGAUUGGAAUGAACAUUGUUUGACAGUUUCCUGAAAAUUAGUAAU